UUUUUGUAAACUCACAGUGAAGAGCUGUGCAGCUUUAUCUUCAGCUCUCAGCUCAAACUCUUCCAGUCUGAGACAGCUGGACCUGAGUGGCAAUAAUCUGCUGGGAGAUUCAGGAGUGACGCUGCUUUCUACUGGUCUGGAGCAUCCAAACUGCAGACUGGAGAAACUAAAGUUGUGGCGCUGUGGCCUUACAGUGAGGAGCUGUUCAUCUUUGGCUUCAGCUCUGAGGUCAAACCCCUCCAGUCUGAGAGCGCUGCACCUGGGAGAGAACAAACUGCAGCAUUCUGAUGUGGAGCUGCUUUCUGCUCUACAGAAAGAUCCUAAAUAUAAGCUGACUGAACUAGAGUAUUAACUGGGCAGCCAUCAAUCAUCCACCAGUCUGACUGGAGUAGAGCUGCUGCAGAUGCUGCAGUUUCCAGACACUCAGUACCAGAUGAUCAUCCAGCUGCCCCACGGAUCAGCACUGUGUGUCUACCUGUCCACUGCUACACUUUAAAGGGUUAUUUAGUUUUCUAGUGAUACAUAAUCACCGUCUCUAAACUGAUUUAACUACUUAUGAUGCCUGUUUCCUAGGCGUGACCUAACUUUUGUGUCCUAUAACUAAUGUUGUCAUUAUUUUGAAGGCCUGACUUUGUUCUAAUUAUUGUUGGUACCAUUUUACCACUUUGUAUAAUGAUAAUAAUGUGUAUUUCUUUGACACAUGAUUUCACCCCUGUGCUGUGGGCCUGUGGUGAUAUGGUUGUAAGGUGGUAUGAGUUCAGUUACCUGAUGAAAGGGUUGAUGUGCCGUCACUACACAUGAUACCAUCGAGCAUGGCUCUUUAGAGUUGUACAUAUAACGGCAACGGUAUGUACAUAUAACGGCAAGAUCAGCUUGGUGGAAGUGAUGUGGCAGCGGUUUCCAUAAUUAAAAA